rnacentral:rRNA from 1 species
CCUACGGGGGGCAGCAGUGGGGAAUAUUGCACACUGGGCGCAAGCCUGAUGCAGCCAUGCCGCGUGUGUGAAGAAGGCCUUCGGGUUGUAAAGCACUUUCAGCGGGGAGGAAGGCGUUAAGGUUAAUAACCUUGUCGAUUGACGUUACCCGCAGAAGAAGCACCGGCUAACUCCGUGCCAGCAGCCGCGGUAAUACGGAGGGUGCAAGCGUUAAUCGGAAUUACUGGGCGUAAAGCGCACGCAGGCGGUCUGUCAAGUCGGAUGUGAAAUCCCCGGGCUCAACCUGGGAACUGCAUUCGAAACUGGCAGGCUAGAGUCUUGUAGAGGGGGGUAGAAUUCCAGGUGUAGCGGUGAAAUGCGUAGAGAUCUGGAGGAAUACCGGUGGCGAAGGCGGCCCCCUGGACAAAGACUGACGCUCAGGUGCGAAAGCGUGGGGAGCAAACAGGAUUAGAUACCCCAGUAGUC